rnacentral:lncRNA from 1 species
GAGGCCCAACCGGAUCUGUUCGGUUGCUAUUCUUUCGCCAGCCCACAGGGCGGACAGUGAAAUGCCUCCGUUAAGACUCGAGUAUAAAAUUCUUGCUCGGGCUCGGUGCAAAGGAGGCUUGCACCCGCAAGGGGGAGGGGCAGCCGGGAGCGCCGAG